rnacentral:rRNA from 1 species
CCUUGGGUGACGAGUGGCGGACGGGUGAGUAAUGUCUGGGAAACUGCCCGAUGGAGGGGGAUAACUACUGGAAACGGUAGCUAAUACCGCAUAACGUCGCAAGACCAAAGAGGGGGACCUUCGGGCCUCUUGCCAUCGGAUGUGCCCAGAUGGGAUUAGCUAGUAGGUGGGGUAACGGCUCACCUAGGCGACGAUCCCUAGCUGGUCUGAGAGGAUGACCAGCCACACUGGAACUGAGACACGGUCCAGACUCCUACGGGAGGCAGCAGUGGGGAAUAUUGCACAAUGGGCGCAAGCCUGAUGCAGCCAUGCCGCGUGUAUGAAGAAGGCCUUCGGGUUGUAAAGUACUUUCAGCGAGGAGGAAGGCGUUGUGGUUAAUAACCGCAGCAAUUGACGUUACUCGCAGAAGAAGCAC